UUGAAAGACCAGUUCUUGUAUGAUCAUCAAAGUUAAGCAACGUCAAACCUGGUCAGUACCGAGAUGGGUGACCGCUUGGGAAUACCAGGUGCUGUAAG